rnacentral:lncRNA from 1 species
CUUUCAAGAGUAGGCAUAACAUCAAAAGAUCAGAAUCUCAGAAUUAUACUUGCAGAAAAUAUGAAGCCAAUGCAUUUAUUUCUGACACGGUUCUGUAUGGAUCACUCAAACUUCAGUCAAAUAUCAAGGCUUUGUAAGAAGGAAAAACUCAAGAAAGCUGCAUGAUUGAAUUGAAAAAACAGCUCAUUUCCAAGAUAAUCCAGAUGUCAGAAACAUGUUUUCCUACCACAUUUUGAAUCACUCUAAGAAAAACCUGGUCUGUGACUGAGUCUGAGUAAGCCAGGACCCCUAAAAUAAAUACCUGAGUUUCCUAAAGACCA